rnacentral:rRNA from 1 species
GACGAACGCUGGCGGCGUGCCUAAUACAUGCAAGUCGAGCGGACGGAUGGGAGCUUGCUCCCAGACCGUCAGCGGCGGACGGGUGAGUAACACGUGGGCAACCUGCCUGUAAGACUGGGAUAACUCCGGGAAACCGGGGCUAAUACCGGAUAACUCUUUCCCUCACAUGAGGGAAAGCUGAAAGAUGGCAUCUCGCUAUCACUUACAGAUGGGCCCGCGGCGCAUUGGCUAGUUGGUGAGGUAACGGCUCACCAAGGCGACGAUGCGUAGCCGACCUGAGAGGGUGAUCGGCCACACUGGGACUGAGACACGGCCCAGACUCCUACGGGAGGCAGCAGUAGGGAAUCUUCCGCAAUGGACGAAAGUCUGACGGAGCAACGCCGCGUGAGUGAUGAAGGUGUUCGGAUCGUAAAACUCUGUUGUCAGGGAAGAACAAGUACCGGAGUAACUGCCGGUACCUUGACGGUACCUGACCAGAAAGCCACGGCUAACUACGUG